rnacentral:tRNA from 1 species
GGGCGAGUGGCGGAAUGGCAGACGCAGCCGACUUAAAAUCGGCCGAGGGAGACUUCUUGCGGGUUCGACUCCCGCCUCGCCCAC